GAAGAAAAUGUAGCCAUUGGUGCCAUCUAUUGACCAUAUUUUAAAGAUUGGCGAUCCGUUAGAUACCGCCCGAGUUAUAGGCAAAACUUGGUGGAAAAAUGAGGAAAAUUUUACAUUUGCUCAAACAGGGUAUGGAACUUGGUUCCUCGAAUAACUUCUGGCACAGACAUCUGAGAGCAUGGCCGUCCAAGAAGAAAAUGUAGCCCUUGAUGCCAUCUAUCGACCACAGGUUAAAGAUUGGCGAUCCGUUAGAUACCGCCCGAGUUAUAGGCAAAACUUGGUGGAAAAAUGAGGAAAAUUUUACAUUUUCUCAAACAGGGUAUGGAACUUGGUUCCUCGAAUAACUUCUGGCACAGACAUCUGAGGGCAUGGCCGUCCAAGAAGAAAAUGUAGCCCUUGAUGCCAUCUAUCGACCACAUUUUAAAGAUUGGCGAUCCGUUGAAUACCGACCGAGUUAUAGGUAAAACUUGGUGAAAAAAUGAGCCUAAUGAAAUUUUCAACUUUUUAAAAUUUUUCAAUUUUUUCAUAAUAUUUUAUUCUUUUUUUGUUUAAAACAUUAUUUGAGUGAAAAGAAACUUAUUGCAACCAAUUGGCAUUAAAAUAAAUCAAUUUAAUUUUUUUUGCAAAAUUUCCCAAAAAAAUCGUAAGGGGUAAGCCUUAUGAUUUUUUCGAGUAAAAAAUUUUUUUAAAAUUUUUUUCUGAUUUUUUAUUCUUUUUUUAAUUUAAAGCAUUAUUUGAGUGAAAAGAAACUUAUUGCAACAAAUUCGCAUUAAAAUAUAUCACAUUUAUAAAUUUUGCUAAAUUGUUCAAAAAUGAGGAAAAUUUUACAUUUUCUCAAACAGGGUAAGGAACUUGGUUCCUCGAAUAACUUCUGGCACAGACAUCUGAGGGCAUGGCCGUCCAAGAAGAAAAUGUAGCCAUUGGUGCCAUCUAUCGACCACAGGUUAAAGAUUGGCGAUCCGUUAGAUACCGCCCGAGUUAUAGGCAAAACUUGGUGGAAAAAUGAGGAAAAUUUUACAUUUUCUCAAACAGGGUAUGGAACUUGGUUCCUCGAAUAACUUCUGGCACAGACAUCUGAGGGCAUGGCCGUCCAAGAAGAAAAUGUAGCCAUUGGUGCCAUCUAUCGACCACAGGUUAAAGAUUGGCGAUCCGUUAGAUACCGCCCGAGUUAUAGGUAAAACUUGGUGAAAAAAUGAGCCUAAUGAAAUUUUCAACUUAGAAAAUUUUUUCAAUUUUUUCAUAAUAUUUUAUUCUUUUUUUGUUUAAAACAUUAUUUGAGUGAAAAGAAACUUAUUGCAACCAAUUGGCAUUAAAAUAAAUCAAUUUAAAUUUUUUUGCAAAAUUUCCCAAAAAAAUCGUAAGGGGUAAGCCUUAUGAUUUUUUCGAGUAAAAAAUUUUUUUAAAAUUUUUUUCUGAUUUUUUAUUCUUUUUUUAAUUUAAAGCAUUAUUUGAGUGAAAAGAAACAUAUUGCAACAAAUUCGCAUUAAAAUAUAUCACAUUUAUAAAUUUUGCUAAAUUGUUCAAAAAUGAGGAAAAUUUUACAUUUUCUCAAACAGGGUAAGGAACUUGGUUCCUCGAAUAACUUCUGGCACAGACAUCUGAGGGCAUGGCCGUCCAAGAAGAAAAUGUAGCCCUUGAUGCCAUCUAUCGACCACAUUUUAAAGAUUGGCGAUCCGUUAGAUACCGCCCGAGUUAUAGGCAAAACUUGAUGCAGAAAUGAGUAAAAUUUUACAUUUUCUCAAACAGGGUAUGGAACUUGGUUCCUCGAAUAACUUCUGGCACAGACAUCUGAGGGCAUGGCCGUCCAAGAAGAAAAUGUAGCCCUUGAUGCCAUCUAUCGACCACAUUUUAAAGAUUGGCGAUCCGUUAGAUACCGCCCGAGUUAUAGGCAAAACUUGGUGGAAAAAUGAGGAAAAUUUUACAUUUUCUCAAACAGGGUAUGGAACUUGGUUCCUCGAAUAACUUCUG